rnacentral:misc_RNA from 1 species
GAUGAAGAACGUAGCGAAAUGCGAUACGUAAUGUGAAUUGCAGAAUUCAGUGAAUCAUCGAAUCUUUAAACGCAUAUUGCGCUCUCUGGUAUUCCGGAGAGCAUGCUUGUUUGAGUAUCAGUAAACACCUCAACUUCCAUAUCUUUUUUGAAAUGGGAGUUGGACUUGAGUGAUCCCAACGCUUUCUUCCAAGAAAGUGGCGGGUUGCUUGAAAUGCAGGUGCAGCUGAACUUUUCUCUGAGCUAUAAGCAUAUCUAUUUAGUCUGCCUAAAAAACAGAUUAUUACCUUUGCUGCAGCUAACAUAAAGGAGACUAGUUCUUGUGCUGACUGAUGCAGGAUUCACAGAGACAGCUUCGGCUGACUUUGUAAACUCGAUCUCAAAUCAAGUAAGACUACCCGCUGAACUUAAGCAUAUCAAUAAGCGGAGGA